CCUACGGGAGGCAGCAGUGGGGAAUAUUGGACAAUGGGCGAAAGCCUGAUCCAGCAAUGCCGCGUGAGUGAUGAAGGCCUUAGGGUUGUAAAGCUCUUUUACCCGGGAUGAUAAUGACAGUACCGGGAGAAUAAGCUCCGGCUAACUCCGUGCCAGCAGCCGCGGUAA
rnacentral:rRNA from 2 species